AUUGAACGCUGGCGGCAGGCUUAACACAUGCAAGUCGAGCGGAGAUGAGGUGCUUGCACCUUAUCUUAGCGGCGGACGGGUGAGUAAUGCUUAGGAAUCUGCCUAUUAGUGGGGGCCAACAUUCCGAAAGGAAUGCUAAUACCGCAUACGUCCUACGGGAGAAAGCAGGGGAUCUUCGGACCUUGCGCUAAUAGAUGAGCCUAAGUCGGAUUAGCUAGUUGGUGGGGUAAAGGCCUACCAAGGCGACGAUCUGUAGCGGGUCUGCGAGGAUGAUCCGCCACACUGGGACUGAGAUACGGCCCAGACUCCUACGGGAGGCAGCAGUGGGGAAUAUUGGACAAUGGGGGGAACCCUGAUCCAGCCAUGCCGCGUGUGUGAAGAAGGCCUUAUGGUUGUAAAGCACUUUAAGCGAGGAGGAGGCUACUGAGACUAAUACUCUUGGAUAGUGGACGUUACUCGCAGAAUAAGCACCGGCUAACUCUGUGCCAGCAGCCGCAGUAAGAC
rnacentral:rRNA from 1 species